rnacentral:rRNA from 1 species
UAGCUCACUGGUCGAGUGGUUGUGCGCCGAUAAUGUAGCGGGGCUUAAGCGUGCCGCCGAAGCCGUGGCAAUAACUUUUUGUUUUUGGGUAGGGGAGCGUCCUGCUCUGGGUGAAGCUGCCUGGUGAUGGGUGGUGGACGGGGUGGGAGUGAGAAUGCAGGCAUGAGUAGCGUUUCGUGGGUGAGAAUCCUACGCGCUGAUUGACUAAGGGUUCCAGGGGCAGGUUUGUCCGCCCUGGGUUAGUCGGGUCCUAAGGCGAGGCCGACAGGCGUAGUCGAUGGGUGACCAGUUGAUAUUCUGGUACCGUUUGUUUUCCGUCUGACGCUGCAUGCUUUCGCGUCGUGUGCUUGCCGUGCGUGGUGUUGUCUUUCGGGAUGAUGCUGAGUGUGGCUGUGUGUGGUGUGGGGUGUGUGGUGAGCAUUGGGGUGACGCAGGGAGGUAGUUGCUGCACACUGGUGGUUAUGUGUGUCUAAGGUUGUGGCCUGUUUCUUGGGUGAAAUCCGGGAAGCUGCGUUUGAUCGCGUGGGUGAGGGCUGAUGGGGCUGCCUGUUGGGGUGGCUAGUGGUGAUCCUGUACUGCCGAGAAAAGCCUGGAUGUGAGGAAGAUGAGCGCCCGUACCCUAAACCGACUCUGGUGGUCAGGUAGAGUAUACCGAGGCGUGCGAGUGAAUCAUGGUUAAGGAAUUCGGCAAAUUGCCCCCGUAACUUUGGGAUAAGGGGGGCCCUGCUGGUGUGCCUGCUGUGCGUGGGUGGUGCUGGUUGGGGUCGCAGAGAAUUGGGAGAAGCGACUGUUUAUUAAAAACAUAGGUGUGUGCUAAGCCGUAAGGCGCUGUAUACGCACUGACGCCUGCCCGGUGCUGGAAGGUUAAGAGGACGACUUAACUGCUUUUUUGUGGUGAAGGUUUGAAUUUAAGCCCCAGUAAACGGCGGUGGUAACUAUAACCAUCCUAAGGUAGCGAAAUUCCUUGUCGGGUAAGUUCCGACCUGCACGAAUGGCGUAACGACUUCUCCGCUGUCUCGACCGUGAUCUCGGUGAAAUUGCAGUACGAGUAAAGAUGCUCGUUUCGCGCAGCAGGACGGAAAGACCCCGGGACCUUUACUAUAGCUUGGUAUUGGUGUGUGUUUGUGCUUGUGUAGGAUAGGUGGGAGACUGUGAUGCCGUGCCGCUAGGUGUGGUGGAGUCGUUGGUGAAAUACCAUUCUGGUUCAAGUAUGCAUCUAACUUGGAGCCCUGAUCGGGUUUGGGGACAGUGCCUGGUGGGUAGUUUAACUGGGGCGGUUGCCUCCUAAAGGGUAACGGAGGCGCUCAAAGGUUCUCUCAGCCUGGUUGGUGAUCAGGUGGUGAGUGUAAGUGCACAAGAGGGCUUGACUGUGACACUGACGGGUGGAGCAGGUACGAAAGUAGGAACUAGUGAUCCGGCCAUGGCUUGUGGAAGCGUGGUCGCUCAACGGAUAAAAGGUACCCCGGGGAUAACAGGCUGAUCUUGCCCAAGAGUCCAUAUCGACGGCAUGGUUUGGCACCUCGAUGUCGGCUCGUCGCAUCCUGGGGCUGGAGUUGGUCCCAAGGGUUGGGCUGUUCGCCCAUUAAAGCGGUACGCGAGCUGGGUUUAGAACGUCGUGAGACAGUUCGGUCCCUAUCCGCUGCGCGCGUUGGAAACUUGAUGAAGGCCCGUCCCUAGUACGAGAGGACCGGGAUGGACGAACCUCUGGUGUGCCAGUUGUACUGCCAGGUGCAUUGCUGGUUGGCUACGUUCGGUUGGGAUAACCGCUGAAAGCAUCUAAGCGGGAAGCUUUCUUCGAGAUGAGGUUUCCGUGCCCCUCUUUUU